rnacentral:rRNA from 1 species
UGGGGAAUAUUGGACAAUGGGCGCAAGCCUGAUCCAGCCAUGCCGCGUGAGUGAUGAAGGCCCUAGGGUUGUAAAGCUCUUUCACCGGUGAAGAUAAUGACGGUAACCGGAGAAGAAGCCCCGGCUAACUUCGUGCCAGCAGCCGCGGUAAUACGAAGGGGGCUAGCGUUGUUCGGAUUUACUGGGCGUAAAGCGCACGUAGGCGGACUAUUAAGUCAGGGGUGAAAUCCCGGGGCUCAACCCCGGAACUGCCUUUGAUACUGGUAGUCUUGAGUUCGAGAGAGGUGAGUGGAAUUCCGAGUGUAGAGGUGAAAUUCGUAGAUAUUCGGAGGAACACCAGCGGCGAAGGCGGCUCACUGGCUCGAUACUGACGCUGAGGUGCGAAAGCGUGGGGAGCAAACAGG